rnacentral:rRNA from 1 species
UACAGAGGUCCCAAGCGUUGUUCGGAUUCAUUGGGCGUAAAGGGUGCGUAGGUGGCGCGCUAAGUCGGGUGUGAAAUUUCGGAGCUUAACUCCGAAACUGCAUUCGAUACUGGCGUGCUUGAGGACUGGAGAGGAGACUGGAAUUCAUGGUGUAGCAGUGAAAUGCGUAGAGAUCAUGAGGAAGACCAGUGGCGAAGGCGGGUCUCUGGACAGUUCCUGACACUGAGGCACGAAGGCCAGGGGAGCAAACGGG